rnacentral:rRNA from 1 species
ACGAACGCUGGCGGCGUGCUUAACACAUGCAAGUCGAACGGAAAGGCCCUGCUUUUGUGGGGUGCUCGAGUGGCGAACGGGUGAGUAACACGUGAGUAACCUGCCCUUGACUUUGGGAUAACUUCAGGAAACUGGGGCUAAUACCGGAUAGGAGCUCCUGCUGCAUGGUGGGGGUUGGAAAGUUUCGGUGGUUGGGGAUGGACUCGCGGCUUAUCAGCUUGUUGGUGGGGUAGUGGCUUACCAAGGCUUUGACGGGUAGCCGGCCUGAGAGGGUGACCGGCCACAUUGGGACUGAGAUACGGCCCAGACUCCUACGGGAGGCAGCAGUGGGGAAUAUUGCACAAUGGGCGGAAGCCUGAUGCAGCAACGCCGCGUGCGGGAUGACGGCCUUCGGGUUGUAAACCGCUUUCGCCUGUGACGAAGCGUGAGUGACGGUAAUGGGUAAAGAAGCACCGGCUAACUACGUG